AGCCUACUAGCUCAAUUGGUAGAGCAUUGUGCAAAAGCACAAAAGCUGUGGGUUCGAAUCCCACGUAGGUUC
rfam:Spinacia oleracea cultivar SynViroflay scaffold48574.con0005.1, whole genome shotgun sequence.